AUUGAACGCUGGCGGCAGGCCUAACACAUGCAAGUCGAACGAGUGGCGGACGGGUGAGUAAUGUCUGGGAAACUGCCUGAUGGAGGGGGAUAACUACUGGAAACGGUAGCUAAUACCGCAUACCAUCAGAUGUGCCCAGAUGGGAUUAGCUAGUAGGUGGGGUAACGGCUCACCUAGGCGACGAUCCCUCGCUGGUCUGAGAGGAUGACCAGCCACACUGGAACGGAGACACGGUCCAGACUCUUACGGGAGGCAGCAGUGGGGAAUAUUGCACCAUGGGCGCAAGCCUGAUGCAGCCAUGCCGCGUGGAUGAAGAAGGCCUUCGGGUUGUAAAGUACUUUCAGCGGGGAGGCGUGAAUCAAAGAAGAAGCACCGGCUAACUCCGUGUCAGCAGCCGCGGUAAUAG
rnacentral:rRNA from 1 species